rfam:Dipodomys ordii contig_22421, whole genome shotgun sequence.
GGUGGCUCAGUGGUAGAGUGCUUGCCUCACAAGCAUGUGGCCCUGGGUUUGAUCCCUCAGCACCA